UUCCAUUUUUUUAGAAGAACAGGAGAAAAAAUAUCCCUUAGCCACAGCUGGAUUCACCUCGCCAUGAAUUGUUUUUCUUGCAUUUGGCAUUUCAGCUAGCUACAGAAGAAGUAAUUGUCCAAAGUCUGAAGUAUACCAUUAAUGUGAGAGAAAUGAUACAAAGGAAAAUCUCCGCCUACCUGCACGGGAUGUACUCUGCACUACCUGGUGCAUCCCCUCUUCAGACCUCUGUUUGCUCAAGAGUUUCCCUUUGUGUAUGGAGUGGACCCAAACUUACGUAGAUCUACUUAAUUGGUAUGCAAGGAAAAAAAAAAAAAAAAAGGAAGAUUAGGAAGAUUGAAAGGGAACGAUGACCAGAGGAAAAAAGAAAAAAAAAAAAAAAAAAAAAAAAAGAUCGGAUGAGAGAUUGAAGUUAACUGCUUUGCUGCUUUGCAGGAGCCAUACAGCUCAUACACUUGAUUUGAGAAUUACACAAUAUUGGUAGCACUACAGAAACAGCGAUUAUCUGGCAUGAUCAGCUCUGCUUGCACAUUUUUGGCUAAGAAAUUGAUGUCCUGAUAAUUCAACGCGUGAGUACAUCUGCUGAAAAUGCUUCCUAUAAUAUUUUCUAUCAGUUCUCAUUACUUCUCUGAAAGUCAAUCCCUCAAAAUAGUUUGACACCGCCCCAUCCCCUCCCCAUGUUUUACCGCAGUAAAAUACUACUCGUUUUAGCGCAUUUAUGUCUAAAACAGACUUUUAACGUGGCUUGACUGUCGCCACUGUAUAAGAAAAUAAAAUGAAUUUAAUCUGUCCGCUUGCUAAUUGCUGACAUAUUAGACACGCUAUAGAUAACAUUAAUACAUCCCGCUUCUUAGAAGAAGGGUGAAGCUUCUCUUGGCACUGCAGAUGGUUAUUUGUGGGAGGAAAAAAAAAAUAGAAAACUUGAUUUCCAACCUGAAAAAAAAUAUGUGUCAUAGUGCAUUUUGAAGGGUCAGAACCGCAGUCUAAUUGGUUUGCCACAUAUAAUACAUGCAAAUUCUAGUUAGAGGUCUUAAACCGCACAACAUCUCAGAGAACUGUACAUAAAGCACGGAGGUGGUUUCUCUCCCCAUCUAAAUGGUUUUACCAAAAUAAUUAAAAAAUAAAUAAAUGUUGAGUUAUUAUUAUAGCUACUUAAUAGACAAUCUCCUGUCUUCUCCGCCAAAGUCCCCAUGUAAAUCUAAGACCGAUUUUGUGAUAUUUUCUUUGAACGACUCUAGCGCCAGACAAGCCGGGAGGGAUGGAGACACAGAGCAAAGAAUAACGGAUGCAGAAGCAAGCUUAUACAGCAGCCCUUAAGUUAGAUUUGUCUUUGACCGUACUCAUUGGCAUAUCUUUAUUCAGUCUUUGGCCUCAUCUGCUUAGAAACAGGCACAGGGUUUGCUAAGAAGGAGCAAUAAACUGGGCAAGUUGCAAGAGAUGCCAGAAGAUGGUAUAACGUAUUUCAAUAUGCGCUGGGAACCCGUCUUUCCUCUCCUGACUGACAUCACUCAACUGGCGAGGUAUAAAUAAAGAUAAAGAGACGUAUUUACAGUAUGUACAAUCACAGCUAUCUGCCCAGAAAGGUCUCGCUUUUUGUUCCUUUGCUUUUCUGGCCAGCAAAUGCCUCUCCACAAAGUAGAGAAAGGCAGAUAGAUGAGGGGAUUAAAACAACACCCAAAUAUUUCGAAAUGCAAACGGAACAGAGCAUUUCUUGUGUGAAAGCUAAACCGGCUAAGAACUUGGUAGAAAGUUCAGUGCAGUUGGUUCCAAUAAAAAAUGAAACUCUUUUUCAUGUGGAGCUGGAAUUCCCGAUCCUUCUGAAGUGAGAACACAGCGGGGGUUUCCCUACCGAGGGACUUAUUGCAGCCAUAAAGUCAAGCAAAUACUACUACAAAAAAAAAAAAAAAAAAAAAAACAAAAAAAAAAAAAACCUACUUGUUCCUGGAGUCAUACAUAGAAAGCAAUUGGCAGCAGAGAAGCCUCCCCUGUAAUGCUCAUGCACAGUAAAAAUCACAUUGGGGAAAGAAACAACCACAGAAGUCAUGUAUGCACUGCAGUGCUGGCGUGUUUAAAACAAUGACCCCUGAAGGUGCAGAAAAAAAUACUUGCUCUCUCCGCACAUAACCAUCUGAAACUUAAUUUCCAGCAAUUUAAGUUUAAUUUACCUGACUUCCCGUGCAGUGCAUAAUAACCUUCUUAAUGGGAUCUUUGAAAAGAAGUAAUAAUAAUCUACCAUUGUUCCAUUAAAGAGUGCGGCUAAUUAUUAACAAAAAGGGGAGGGCGGAGGAGGGAGAGCGGGAGAAGUAAGGACAUUGGGGUAGUCAAAGUGUAUUCAUACUGAACUAUUUCGGCAAAAGAAAACCCUGAGACCGGGGGAAGGGGGCUACCAGUAGAUUGGAUUGGAUACGUUGUAGAAGGUAAGGAGAAACCGAUACGUAUCAUAAAUUGUGGAAGGCGAAUGCUGCGAGGUGUUGGGAAUUACAACAUGGAACAAGUUAAUCAUGGAUGUUGUUAGUUAAAGGAAAGUUGUCCCCCCUCUUUUUUUUUUUUUUUUUUUUUCCUUUUUUUUAUAUGUAGUCACUCGGCAUCUCACUUUCUUAGAGAAAGUGUCACUAGCCUAGACGUAAACAGUUGCCAGGAAACUGUGUGGUAGAAAGAGAAAACGAGAGGGAGAAAGAGGCAGGGAGGGAGGAAGGGAGGGAGGGAGAAACCUUUUAAAAUAACAGACACGCAUUGUCCCUUCAAAGCUCAGAGUAACUUAAAAGUGAUUCGUCGUCUGCCUUUACUCUCUGUUCCUUCCCCAGCAACCACCUCAAUUUUGUGUACACGACUUGACAUAUCUUUUCCAGACCCCACUGAAAUGACCACUCGAAGCAAUAAAUAAAUAAAAGCUUCUCUGCCUUUUAUGAUUAGCUGAAAUCCCCAGCUUCGCCUUUGCCUCAUACGUCAUUACCGUGUUUCAUUUUACACGAUCUCCGCUUGUGUUCACGCUCAGCAAACAACGGGCUAUCUUUCAUCUUCCGUGUGUGUGUAGAUAGAUAAAUAGAGAGAGAUAGAUAGCCUUUGAAUGUAUAUGCAUGUAUAUAUUUAUACGCAUACGGCAAGGGAGAGACGCACAGUUGCACACACAGCACUAUACAUCGGGGUGUGCGUAGAGCAACACACAUUCGUACGGGGUGUACAUUGCCCAUAUGUCAGUGCCUGUAUAUGUGCAAGCGCAUCCCACGUACACAUAUUCAGACACUUUAAGACUAUGCAAACAGAUAAAAACACAUCUCCCAUUUGCAAUUCCCAGCAGGGCACCAAGCCUCAAGGGUGGAAACGCAUUCGAGAGCCGCUUCCCUUCCCGAGCAGCACGGAGCCAGGCCCCGCUGGGCGCUGCCGGCCGCCUGCUCCGGCCGCCAGGCCGGGGAGAAGGGACCCGGGCAGGGCCGCCCACGCCGGGGCACCGGCUGCGGGGAGCCCCCGGGGAGCCGCCGGCCGCCGCCGUCGACGGUAGAUGGCAGCAGACGGCGGGGAAUGGGCGAGCCCCGCAGCGCGGCGGCGGCACCGGGGGAACGGCGCCGCUGGGGGCUGCCUUGGUUUUAUUCUAUUUAAUUUUAUUUUCUUAAAUUAGCAAGCAGGAAGACUGCGAGGAGGGGCGCCCGCCGGCAGCAGCGUGGGCCCCCCACCCCGGGGCACUCGGAGGUUUCUCGGCCAUCCCACGCCGCCCCAUGCUGACGAGGUUAAAAAGACUUGCCCGCACCGAAGUGCGAGGUUUCCACAAGUGGUUGCCCACGCAGGAUGCGGAAGAAUCGGCAUAAAAGCGUUUUGGAGCAAGAACCUUAUUCUUGGGGACUGCCGUGAACUGCCCUCUUUGAAGAAACCACCCACAUAAUAAUGACCCUGGAGAGCAACGCAAAACCCAACUGGCUUCCACACAAACUUCGGCAAAUUACUGGGCGCCUGAAGACAGGCAAACUGUCAAGAGAUUUUGCGAGGGAAAAAAAAAACAAAACAAAACAAAACAAAACACAACAACGACCCACAAAGGGUUUGGUAAUUUUUUAAAGACAGUAUCUAAAAGCUUCCAUCACCGAUCUGCAGCAAAAUCCUUCAUACCAACUCUACAAUCGCCAGGUCACCUUACAGGUUACUUCUUAUUCCAUUCAAUUUCUUCCUUCCUUUUCUUUCUUUGUCUUUCUUUCCUCCUUCCUUUUCUCUCUCUCUUCCUCUCUCUCUCUUCCUUCCAUCCUUCCAUCCUUCUUUCCUUCUCUCUUUCCUUCUCUUUCUCUCUCCCCUCCCCUUUAUGCAUUUUUCCCCUCUUUCUUCUCCCCCUUUUUUUCUCAGCUUAUGUCACACUUUUAAGGGGAAAAUUUCACUUAAAGAGAUUUUCACCACCCCGAUUUCUUCCAGUGUCUCCUUUCCCCCUCACUCCACCCUUUUCUUUCUACUUGUCCCCUUGGGUAGGGGGAGAGAGGAAAAUGGGGACUGGGACAGAAAAGGCAGAUUGACAAAUACAUUUUCUCAAUGAAAACGUUAAAUUAAGAGAAACAGAUAUUAUUCCCUUACCUUUUGACGUCCAUUUCUGUGGUAUAAGUAAAAUAUAUAGGGAGAGAGAGACAGCGUUUGCUUAUCUGUUAGCUGACAAAUAUUGUCCCAACCUGAUAGCCGUCGAUUGCCUCUCUGACUUGUGAUAGCUUCUUGCAUUUCUGUCAUUUGCAUAGAAAAUGAAGUAACUUCCCUCUUUGAAAAAUGAUAGCCUCCACUCGGUCCAGAAUCUCCUCUGCCCCUCCAUUACUGCUGAGAUUCCAAAUCAGCAGGCAAAUUAACAGAGGAAUCAGAGGAAUUA